rnacentral:rRNA from 1 species
UCGCGAAAACUUCGCAAUGGGGGCAACCCCGACGAGGGAAUUCCAAGUGCCAGCACUUUGUGUUGGCUGUUCUCCUGUCUAAAAAACAGGAGGAGUAAGGGGCGGGUAAGACGGGUGCCAGCCGCCGCGGUAAUACCCGCGCCCCUAGUGGUGGUCGAUAUUAUUGAGCCUAAAACGUCCGUAGCCGGUCUUCUAAAUCCUUGGGUAAAUCGGGCAGCUUAACUGUCCGAAGUCCGGGGAGACUGGGAGACUUGGGACCGGGAGAGGUCAGAGGUACUUCUGGGGUAGGGGUAAAAUCCUGUAAUCCUGGAAGGACCACCGGUGGCGAAGGCGUCUGACUAGAACGGAUCCGACGGUGAGGGACGAAGCCCUGGGGCGCAAACGGG